rnacentral:rRNA from 1 species
CAGCAGCCACGGUAACACGAAGGGGGCUAGCGUUGUUCGGAAUUACUGGGCGUAAAGCGCACGUAGGCGGAUAUUUAAGUCAGGGGUGAAAUCCCAGAGCUCAACUCUGGAACUGCCUUUGAUACUGGGUAUCUUGAGUAUGGAAGAGGUGAGUGGAAUUCCGAGUGUAGAGGUGAAAUUCGUAGAUAUUCGGAGGAACACCAGUGGCGAAGGCGGCUCACUGGUCCAUUACUGACGCUGAGGUGCGAAAGCGUGGGGAGCAAACAGGAUUAGAUACCCCUGUAGUCCUGUCUCUUAUACA